GAUGAAGAACGUAGCGAAAUGCGAUACGUAAUGUGAAUUGCAGAAUUCAGUGAAUCAUCGAGUCUUUGAACGCACAUUGCGCCCCCUGGUAUUCCGGGGGGCAUGCCUGUCCGAGCGUCAUUGCUGCCCUCAAGCACGGCUUGUGUGUUGGGCCUCCGCCCCCCGGCUCCCGGGGGGCGGGCCCGAAAGGCAGCGGCGGCACCGCGUCCGGUCCUCGAGCGUAUGGGGCUUCGUCACCCGCUCCGUAGGCCCGGCCGGCGCCCGCCGGCGACCCCCCUCAAUCUUUCCAGGUUGACCUCGGAUCAGGUAGGGAUACCCGCUGAACUUAAGCAUAUCAAUAACGGAGGA
rnacentral:misc_RNA from 1 species